UCUCCUAAUGUCUAUCAGGCACGUAAGAAAAAAGCCAGCUGUUCCUGCAUGUUUAGCCACUGUAUGAUCUCCAUAUGUCUUGCUGGUGUUGCUGCUUGCCUGGACUCAGGUGCUUUCUAAGACCUCUGCCAGCCACAAGAGAUAUGGAAGUGCUAUAAAGGCCUGGCUGCAGGAGAGUGCUGUAGGAAGCCGGAGAGUGCAGAUUGUGUAUGCAGUGCUAUACAUUUCAGUACAAAGCAAACACAUGCACUUACAUAUACCUGUACACAACACCUAAAAUUGAAACUGGAAAAUGGUGAAGCAUGAGGAAGAAGGGAAAAGUGCUUACUUUACAGACCAAAAAUGAGUGAAAAACCAAGUACAUCAUAAAAAAAAAAAAAAAGGUGGGUGAAAGUUGGAAAGCAUAGAAGGAAGCCUCUUUUCCUUUACUCCGGAUUUCAGCUUCCUCAUCUGUGUGGAAAAU
rnacentral:lncRNA from 1 species